rnacentral:tRNA from 2 species
GGUUCUAUGGUGUAGUGGUUAGCACUUUGGACUUUGAAUCCAGUGACCUGGGUUCAAAUCCCGGUAGGACCU